GGCAAGUCUGGUGCCAGCAGCCGCGGUAAUUCCAGCUCCAAUAGCGUAUAUUAAAAUUGUUGCAGUUAAAAAGCUCGUAGUUGAAUUUCUGCUGCAUUACAUAUCUCUUGUUUGAGUUUGUUUUUGUGGCUUAUUUCGGUUUGAUUUUUUCUUUCCGGAUGAUUACUUUGAGAAAAUUAGAGUGCUCAAAGCAGGCUUUUGCCUUGAAUAGUUUAGCAUGGAAUAAUAAAGUAGGACUUUGGUUCUAUUUUGUUGGUUUUAGGUACCAAAGUAAUGGUUAAUAGGAACAGUUGGGGGCAUUCGUAUUUAACUGUCAGAGGUGAAAUUCUUAGAUUUGUUAAAGACGAACUACUGCGAAAGCAUUUGCCAAGGAUGUUUUCAUUAAUCAAGAACGAAAGUUAGGGGAUCGAAGACGAUCAGAUACCGUCGUAGUCCUAACCAU
rnacentral:rRNA from 1 species